rnacentral:rRNA from 1 species
UCGAGAAUCUUCGGCAAUGGGCGCAAGCCUGACCGAGCGACGCCGCGUGGAGGAUGAAGGCCUUCGGGUUGUAAACUCCUGUCGAGGGGGAAAAAGGGUCGAAAGGCCUUGAUUGAUCCCUGGAGGAAGCACGGGCUAAGUUCGUGCCAGCAGCCGCGGUAAGACGAACCGUGCGAACGUUAUUCGGAAUCACUGGGCUUAAAGCGCGUGUAGGCGGAUGAGCACGUCUGUCGCUGAAAUCCCCCGGCUCAACCGGGGAACGGGCGGAGAUACGGCUCAUCUGGAGGGGCGUAGGGGGACCUGGAACUUCCGGUGGAGCGGUGAAAUGCGUUGAGAUCGGAAGGAACGCCCGUGGCGAAAGCGAGGUCCUGGACGCCUACUGACGCUGAGACGCGAAAGCCAGGGGAGCGAACG